UUAGAAGUAGCUAGAUCUAGUUGAUGAUACGAUCAUUCAGAAUGUUGCCAGUUGAUCAUCUAGAAGUUGUCAAUUGCUAAGUCGAUCUAAGUAUGUUACUAUAUUCAAUGAAGAAACUUCUCUUCGUCUAAAACAAUUACUUUAAUUCAGAACUUGAAAAAGCUAUUCACAAAUAAUUACAAUGGUUAAAUGUACUUGAAUAGAAUGAUAGAUUUACACAAUAAUAUAAUUGAGUUCUAAUACAAAACUUUAGUACAUGUUAUCACUUCCAUGUUCCAUACAAGACUGGCGUAAUCUAGAACCUUCCCCGGGCUCUAGAGCGUAAUCACGUCACCAACGCAGCUCAUUGCAAUGCCAACCAAUAAAUGCAGCCCAAUUUACAAUAAUUAACAUAUCUCCGCUUGAGGAAU